rnacentral:misc_RNA from 1 species
ACAAUCUAUUAUAUUUAUAUUCAUAAUAAAAACUGGAAUGAGUACAAACACACAUUGAUACAAUACCUCCAUACAACACUAUUUAUUUCGCAUAUUAGACAAAUCAAUAAUUUUUUAUUAAUCAUCACACAGAUAGAUAUUUCAGAUGAGAUUUUCAAAUGUUAAUGAUCUUUUAGUUAUUGUGGAGAUGACUUUCCAAAUCUCUAGUGAUGUCGAUCAUAAGACUCAAGAGAGUAAUAGG